UGUACCUACUUACUGCCCAGCCCCCUCGCCCACUUACAAUAUCCUUAUAUGGUCCUCACUCCUCACCUGCGACGCCUGUCCUCGCCCGCUUCUGAUUGGUGCUAUGAUAUGACGUACAUCUAUAUGUAUGACGUGUGUGUAUGACGUUUGAAUAUAGCGGCCGACGCCGAACGCCGAGCAGUAGCUGUGAAAGGAUCAUUCGAAAGCCAACCGCCGUAGCGGCCUGACGUAUCGUUAUUCAAAGUCUCGGCCGACUGUUUAUUACUUUUGGAUUCUGUCGUCAAAUUUGCAAUACAUACUUGAAGAAAAGAAAAACCGUGUUGGUUAUACGGCUGAAACAAGAGGUCCCCAAACAGACUAUCACAGAAGAAGAAAUUGUUUAUUUACUUUUUACAUUUGUUACAAAUGGUGCCGUGACCCGGAUCUAAAUAAAAAAAAACUCAAGAAUUGAAAUUGGUUCCGCAAGAAAUUGCUCUACAAGUCUACGAACAAGAUGUGGGCAAGACCGUUCUUCCUGACAUUCCUGUUCUAUCUGACAUCUCCGACAACGGCCAACGUUCUCUUCCUGCCCCGAGGCCAUCUCUACGCUUCAUACGACCACUGGACUCUUCACAUCCCCAUCGAAACCAGGACAUCAUGGACGUUUGUAUUGAAGCUGGAGCAUCAUGUGAAGCUCUUCAAAAGUAAAGUCAGUAGUAUAUUUGCAGAGCACCGCCAACAAUUGCGAAGUGACCAGGCAAUUCAGCUUUUUGCUAAGUUUAACCAGAGCGUAAAAGUUAUUGACAUUGUAAUAGAUACUUGGUCAAAUGUACUUGUUGAUCUUUCGGAAACUAAUGUUUCACUCCCCGAAGCAGUAAACUUCAUUCCCCCACUUCAGGACAAAAGUGUUCAUUUGUCUAACUUGAGGAAACAUAUUCAACAGAUUCGAGUACGAAAUGCUCAGCAUCAUAAAACUGUCGUUAUCCCCGCCAUCUCGGUCACAACGUGUAUUGUGGUUGCGUUAGUGCUGUUAACUGUUCUAUACGUCCGAUGUCAUGUGUUUAAACCCAUUAUAAUCCGACCCCAGAAAGUAUCCGCUCAAAAUCCUGCCCCUGACAGCGUUAUUGUUGAAGAAACGUCAAGUGUAGCUCCAAAUAUCAAGCCCCGGGAAAAACUCACGGACCCAAGUCCCUCGUGCUUAAAAUGGUUAAAACCGUCUCCGACCCUCGCUUCUCAGAAAUCCGCAGAUGCCUGAUGCAAAUAUUUUCCAGAGGAGUUCUUUCUCCGCAGCAGAGGUACCAGUAGCGGCGCUCCCACACUCGGUCGAGCCGCCGCCGGUGCUAGUCAGCGCCACUGAGAUCGGGCCGCCCCGCAUCGGACACCUCACGUCCGGGCGCCCCGAUAAAACUACGCUGACGCGUGGUCUGGUCAGCCCGACACCGGACGGACGACCCACAACAAGACGCGAGACGUGAGAACGUCAAUGUGUCAAUAUCUGACACAUCAUCUGGCGACAGCGUGUCGACACCUGACACACGAUCUGGUGUCAAUGGACAAUGGACUGACAAACACGUGUCAGACAGCAGCGUCAAAGGUGACCAAAACCCUCUGAACUCUCUGAACUCCCUGAACUGAUGUGCCCGCAGCGGAAUCUUACCAGUGAUUGCGAAGCGAGAACCGAAUCGAUGAGCACGAGUGGGACAGUAGACUAUGUUUCGUAAACGGACAAUGAAGAAGACUCUAUAGACUUAUAACUACGAGGACUGCAACGAUCGGAAAAACGGGAAAUUGUGUGUUGAGGUGCUGUGUAUAUUGUUGUAUUAGGUGUUGUUUGUGCUGUGUCGUGUGUUGUGUACGUUAUAUCAUGCAUCAUAUUAGGAGUAUCCCAAGCCGAAAAUUUUGGUCAAAAUUUCAGCUUUAAGGACCUCGCGUUGUGUUGUAACGAAAUUCGUUCCUACCCCGUCCUCCACCUCCCUCUGUACCUACUUACUGCCCAGCCCCCUCGCCCACUUACAAUAUCCUUAUAUGGUCCUCACUCCUCAC
rnacentral:lncRNA from 1 species